rnacentral:rRNA from 1 species
GGGAGCUUGCUCCCAUUUCUCAGCGGCGGACGGGUGAGUAACACGUGGGCAACCUGCCCUACAGACUGGGAUAACUCCGGGAAACCGGAGCUAAUACCGGGUAAUACGUAGCAUCGCAUGAUGCAACGUUGAAAGUUGGCCUCUGGCUAACACUGUAGGAUGGGCCCGCGGCGCAUUAGCUAGUUGGUAAGGUAACGGCUUACCAAGGCCACGAUGCGUAGCCGACCUGAGAGGGUGAUCGGCCACACUGGGACUGAGACACGGCCCAGACUCCUACGGGAGGCAGCAGUAGGGAAUCUUCCGCAAUGGACGAAAGUCUGACGGAGCAACGCCGCGUGAGUGACGAAGGCCUUCGGGUCGUAAAGCUCUGUUGUUAGGGAAGAACAAGUACCGUUCGAAUAGGGCGGUACCUUGACGGUACCUAACCAGAAAGCCACGGCUAACUACGUGCCAGCAGCCGCGGUAAUACGUAGGUGGCAAGCGUUGUCCGGAAUUAUUGGGCGUAAAGCGCGCGCAGGCGGUCUCUUAAGUCUGAUGUGAAAGCCCACGGCUCAACCGUGGAGGGCCAUUGG